UUAUAGCAACACCUCAAAAAUAUUUAGUGAGGAGAAUUCUGAUGAAAUUAUUAAACGCUUGGGAGAUGUCAGAUUAAAUAUUCUUGUCCUUGGAGGAAGCUCUGGAUUUAUUCAGCUUUAUGCUUAUGGGAUGUUCAAAAUUGCUCGAGUCACAGGGAUUGCUGGCACUUGUCUUGCAUUGUGUCUAUCAAGUGAUUUGAAAUCAUUAUCAGUGGUCACAGAGGUUUCCACUGGUG